GGUUGGGACUGGACCUUAAUUUUUGCAUUGAUUUGGUGCAAUUUUAAAGUGCAAGCAGGCAUCUCAGCCCACCUACUUUCUUAUGAUCAACAGUCUAUUUUAAGUUAUUUGUUACAUGGCUGCUAUCAUGGUGUGACAUUUCUAAAUGCUAUGAGAUAAGUAACAUAGAAAUUGUUUUUUAUGUUCUUUCAUGCUUUUGUUGGUUUUCAAGUUUGGGCAACUGAUGUUGGAAUAAGCUGCUUAUUGUUUCUCUUCUUGUAUUGAAGAAUAGGUAUGGGACUGCAUUACUGGGUCUUGCCUAUAUAUGCCGAAGGGCGAUGAUCAAAUUUCAGUGAGGCAUAUUCAGGUAUGGGACUACAUUACUAGGUCUUGCCUAUAUACGUCGGGUGGUGAUGAUCAAAUUUUAGUGGGGCAUAUUCAGUUUUGCAGAUACUUUCAAUGAGAAAAUAAAUCACAAAGGAGUGUCAGACAAUUUUCACCAAACUUAGCCGCGAAGAUGAGGCCACCCAUAUGUUGUCGACCUCGCUGGAUCUUUGUCAUGUUGCUUUCUACAGAUACAUCAUGAUUGGCACAAAUGUGUGUUUCUCAUCUUGUCAGCAAUCCCCUUUUACCUGUGGUUUUUAUUUAAACAAUUGAUGUCUGCGGUUGUAUUGUGAGCCAAGACCUAUUUGUUAUCAACUUGGUAAUUGUUAAGAAGGGUGAGAAAAUCUGCCUGGUUUGACUGACACUGAGAAGCCAAGGAUGAGGGGUCCCAAGAGGGCCUCCAAGAUGAGGAAGCUUUUCAACCUUUCCAAGGAUGAUGUACACAAGCAAGAAGGUGAGCAAGGCACCUAAGAUUCAGUGGCUUAUGACCCCGUGACCCUUCAGAGGAAGCGCGCUAGAAUCACUGAUAAGAAGAAGAAGAUCGCUAAGGAGUCUGAGGCUGCCGAGUACCAAAAUCUUCUUGCCAGAGGCUAAAGGAAAAAAGAGACCGCUGCAACGAGAGCUUGGCAAAGAUGAGGUCUAAGCCUUCUGUCGCUGCCACCUCUGCUUAAGAAUAUUUAGUGCUUUGAGAUGUUUUCAAGGCCUAUCUUGUUACAGCUUAAGCACCUUAUGAUGCCCUAGUUGUGUUGCAACUGCCCUGUAAUUGACAGAUUUGUAUUUGAUGCUCAGGAUGUAGAGAGUAGGUUCCUAAUUAUGACCAUGUACUAAAUUAUAUAUCUGUGUCUAAGUUAUAGUACAAACAAAAUAAAUUUAGCGCAACCAGCUUGCAGAAAAAA